AGAGUUUGAUCAUGGCUCAGAUUGAACGCUGGCGGAAUGCUUUACACAUGCAAGUCGAACGGCAGCAUAGAGAGCUUGCUCUCUGAUGGCGAGUGGCGAACGGGUGAGUAAUAUAUCGGAACGUGCCUAGUAAUGGGGAAUAACUAGCUGAAAGGUUAGCUAAUGCCGCAUACGACCUACGGGUGAAAGCAGGGGAUCUUCGGACCUUGCGUUAUUAGAGCGGCCGAUAUCUGAUUAGCUUGUUGGUGGGGUAAUGGCCUACCAAGGCGACGAUCAGUAGCUGGUCUGAGAGGACGAUCAGCCACACUGGAACUGAGACACGGUCCAGACUCCUACGGGAGGCAGCAGUGGGGAAUAUUGGACAAUGGGGGCAACCCUGAUCCAGCCAUGCCGCGUGAGUGAAGAAGGCCUUCGGGUUGUAAAGCUCUUUCGCAAGAGAAGAAAACUUGCUAUCUAAUAAAUAGUAAGCAUGACGGUAUCUUGACAAGAAGCACCGGCUAACUACGUGCCAGCAGCCGCGGUAAUACGUAGGGUGCAAGCGUUAAUCGGAAUUACUGGGCGUAAAGCGUGCGCAGGCAGUUUUAUAAGUCAGAUGUGAAAUCCCCGAGCUCAACUUGGGAACUGCGUUUGAAACUGUAAGACUAGAGUGUGUCAGAGGGGGGUAGAAUUCCAAGUGUAGCAGUGAAAUGCGUAGAGAUUUGGAGGAAUACCAAUGGCGAAGGCAGCCCCCUGGGAUAACACUGACGCUCAUGCACGAAAGCGUGGGGAGCAAACAGGAUUAGAUACCCUGGUAGUCCACGCCCUAAACGAUGUCUACUAGUUGUUGGUGGAGUAAAAUCCAUGAGUAACGCAGCUAACGCGUGAAGUAGACCGCCUGGGGAGUACGGUCGCAAGAUUAAAACUCAAAGGAAUUGACGGGGGCCCG
rnacentral:rRNA from 1 species